GACGAACGCUGGCGGCGUGCCUAAUACAUGCAAGUAGAACGCACAGUUUAUACCGUAGCUUGCUCCACCAUAGACUGUGAGUUGCGAACGGGUGAGUAACGCGUAGGUAACCUGCCUGGUAGCGGGGGAUAACUAUUGGAAACGAUAGCUAAUACCGCAUAAUAUUAAUUAUUGCAUGAUAAUUAAUUGAAAGGUGCAAUUGCACCACUACCAGAUGGACCUGCGUUGUAUUAGCUAGUAGGUGAGGUAACGGCUCACCUAGGCGACGAUACAUAGCCGAGCUGGAAAGGUGGUCGGCCAACAUGGGACUGGGACACGGCCCAGGCCUCUUCGGGAGGCAGCAGGAGGGGAUCAUCGGAAAUGGAGGAAAGUCUGACCGAGCAACGCCGGGGGAGGGAAGAAGGGUUUCGGAUCGGUAAGCUCCGUUGUAAGAGAAGGAAGGGUGUGAGAGUGAAAAGUUCACACUGUGACGGUAUCUUACGAGAAAGCGACGGCUAACUACGUG
rnacentral:rRNA from 1 species